CGGGAUGAGUUUAAUGUUAAUUUGGCUAGUUUGUAGAGAUUGUCUUUAAAGUACAACACACAAAAAAUGUGGAAUGAACUGAGGAGGGUACUAAACGAAAGACGUUCUUCUUUUGUGAACACAAAGUAACAAUUCGACAAAUUUGCAUCAACUUUUACCGGUUUUGAAAUGAUACCCUUUACGCAGUCACUAAUGCACUUUUAUUGUUUGUUUAUUUUGGGAUCCUGGAGUUGAGUUCCAUGUACUUUCUAUCCUUUGUCCUUAAGUUGUUUAGUACCUGACACGGUGAAGUGUACCACGUAUUUUCUAUAUUUUGUCAUGGAGUUGUUUUGAUGCUUAUUCGGUGAAGUGUGCCACGUACUUUCUAUCCUUUGUCUUACUAACCUUUGACCCGUAAAUAUGUUACCUACACACAACACGAGAAUCUGUUACCGUUAUUUUUUUCUAUUUGUAUGUUUUAUUCAUUGAUUUAUAUCAUAAAAAAUAAUAUCUAUGUUACAUUUUGUCUUAAAUAAGAUGACAAUAGAAAUAUUCUUUUUACUUUUGUCUUUAAUAUACUAGACCCAUUGGUGGCCUUCGGCUAUUGUAUGCUCUAUGGUCGGGUUGCUGUCGCUUUGACACAUUCCCCAUUUCCAUUCUCAAUUGUAUUGCAAUAUUUUCCACUGGAUGUUAAGCAAUCGAUAUAUAAUCCACCAAUACGUCUCUUUUCGAACUCACUAUCUGUCAAUCCGUGUUUGAAGAAAAUGAAAACAAUCUAUGUAAUCAAAAUUGUAUUGUCAGUGUAAAAAGUUCUUCAAGUUCAUACAUU
rnacentral:lncRNA from 1 species